rnacentral:rRNA from 1 species
UACAGAGGGUGCAAACGUUGUUCGGAAUUACUGGGCGUAAAGCGCGUGCAGGCGGCCUUGCAAGUCGGACGUGAAAUCCCACGGCUCAACCGUGGAAGUGCAUUCGAAACUGCGAGGCUGGAGUCCUGGAGAGGAAAGUGGAAUACUCGGUGUAGAGGUGAAAUUCGUAGAUAUCGAGUGGAACACCGGUGGCGAAGGCGGCUUCCUGGAUCACCCCUGACGCUGAGACGCGAAAGCGUGGGGAGCGAACGGG